rnacentral:rRNA from 1 species
GACGAACGCUGGCGGCGUGCUUAACACAUGCAAGUCGAACGGAAAGGCCCUGCUUUUGUGGGGUGCUCGAGUGGCGAACGGGUGAGUAACACGUGAGUAACCUGCCCUUGACUUUGGGAUAACUUCAGGAAACUGGGGCUAAUACCGGAUAGGAGCUCCUGCUGCAUGGUGGGGGUUGGAAAGUUUCGGCGGUUGGGGAUGGACUCGCGGCUUAUCAGCUUGUUGGUGGGGUAGUGGCUUACGAAGGCUUUGACGGGUAGCCGGCCUGAGAGGGUGACCGGCCACAUUGGGACUAAGAUACGGCCCAGACUCCUACCGGAGGCAGCAGUGGGGAAUAUUGCACAAUGGGCGGAAGCCUGAUGCAGCAACGCCGCGUGCGGGAUGACGGCCUUCGGGUUGUAAACCGCUUUCGCCUGUGACGAAGCGUGAGUGACGGUAAUGGGUAAAGAAGCACCGGCUAACUACGUG